CUUCCCUGUGAUGUUUCAGUUUGAACCAUGCUAAUGCUGAUUAUUGCAUGAUCGAUAAUAUCAAAUAUUCUGAGGGAAGU